CUUUGUAUUUUUCCACAGCUUUCUUGAACUGCAUAUAUUAGAAAAUUCACACCAUAUAAAAACCAAUUAUCAUUAUUGGAGGUGAAAAUAAAAAAAAUUAUUGCGGUUCAAUAAAGCUGUGGGAAGAUACAGAUA
rnacentral:pre_miRNA from 1 species